UUUUAGGCCAAUUCCUACCAUUUCUCUUCUGAUUUUUCCUAUCUUCUUCACCUGCAAUUUGCUCAACUACCUUCCUCAUUCCCUCUCUACCAAAAAUUAAGGGUUUUUAAGGUCUAUUUCACGUAGAACUCUAUAGGAGAACCCGAGGGUUCUCGACGACGAAUUGUCAUUCCGGAGAGUAUCACCAUUCACCAUCACCCUUAAUCAACUUCCCUUGGACCCAAGAACAAGACCCAAUUGGUGGUUGGGGCAUUGGAACACAAAGGAAGCCGAAUUGAAGAACACCCACCUUAGGGUUUCGUUGGGUGCGAGCCAAUUUGAGGGCCUUCCUAGCCAAAUUGGACUCGGCCACAGGCACUGAUCGUACAUGUGACAGGUUUGAGUAGACUCCGAGAAGUUUGUAGGUGGGGGUAGCAGUGCAGUUAUCAGAGACUUGGAGCUUUAGACAUUAUGACGACCCCACACGGUACUACUCAGCAGUUUGGGGAUGAUGUUCCCGACGAGGGCACUCUUGGUUUUGGUCAGGAGGCUAGCCAUGAUUAUGAUGGACCCGAUGGAGCUUUUCGGGCCAUCAUUUAACACAGUUGAUGCAGGCACACGUUCGUGCAACUCCUGGUAGGGAGAAGUCUUUGUACGGGGAGUUCCGUACCCAUAAGCCACCUUCUUUCGAUGGUAGUACUGAUCCGUAGGCGACAGAGUCUUGGAUCAAUCAGAUCGCCAGAAUUUUCACUGUAUUACGUUGUUCAUCCGAAGAGCAGGUUGAUCUUGCAGCGUAUAUGUUGACAGGUGAGGCUUACGAGUGGUGCCAUAUCACUCGUCCAUUAUUAGUAGCCUGGGGACCUCUUACUUGGGAUCAAGACGUGACAAUUGCAGUCCUAUUAGAUUAGGAAUGUGAUUGUGUAAAUCCUAGUAUAUCUUGGAAUAUCUCUUAUAUUCCUAUUAGGA